UCAUAUGUACAUGCCUACAAUGUUAAUGCAUUAUAUCCCAUUAGAACUCUACAGUUAAGUGCGCUUGGGCUAGUGUAGUAUUGGGAUGUGUGACCUCCCAGGAAGUCCUAGUGUUUUACAUGCC
rfam:Picea glauca, whole genome shotgun sequence.